GUUGUGGCUCAGUGGGCAGAGCGCUUGCCUAGCAUGCAUGAGGCACUGAGUUCGAUCCCUGGCACCACA
rnacentral:tRNA from 1 species